GAUUGUGUACUUUAUCUUAAAAGAUCUAGUUUGCACCUAGAACUAGGGCCAAAACCCCCACAACCA
rnacentral:tRNA from 1 species